UUGAACGCUGGCGGCAUGCCUUACACAUGCAAGUCGAACGGCAGCACGGGAGCAAUCCUGGUGGCGAGUGGCGAACGGGUGAGUAAUACAUCGGAACGUGCCCAAUCGUGGGGGAUAACGCAGCGAAAGCUGUGCUAAUACCGCAUACGAUCUACGGAUGAAAGCAGGGGACCGCAAGGCCUUGCGCGAAUGGAGCGGCCGAUGGCAGAUUAGGUAGUUGGUGGGGUAAAGGCUCACCAAGCCAACGAUCUGUAGCUGGUCUGAGAGGACGACCAGCCACACUGGGACUGAGACACGGCCCAGACUCCUACGGGAGGCAGCAGUGGGGAAUUUUGGACAAUGGGCGCAAGCCUGAUCCAGCCAUGCCGCGUGCAGGAUGAAGGCCUUCGGGUUGUAAACUGCUUUUGUACGGAACGAAACGGCCUUUUCUAAUAAAGAGGGCUAAUGACGGUACCGUAAGAAUAAGCACCGGCUAACUACGUG
rnacentral:rRNA from 1 species